rnacentral:rRNA from 1 species
CGGAAUGCUUUACACAUGCAAGUCGAGCGGCAGCGCGGGGGCAACCUGGCGGCGAGCGGCGAACGGGUGAGUAAUACAUCGGAACGUGCCCAGACGUGGGGGAUAACUACUCGAAAGAGUAGCUAAUACCGCAUAUGAUCUAAGGAUGAAAGCGGGGGAUCGCAAGACCUCGCGCGUUUGGAGCGGCCGAUGGCAGAUUAGGUAGUUGGUGGGGUAAAGGCUUACCAAGCCUGCGAUCUGUAGCUGGUCUGAGAGGACGACCAGCCACACUGGGACUGAGACACGGCCCAGACUCCUACGGGAGGCAGCAGUGGGGAAUUUUGGACAAUGGGCGAAAGCCUGAUCCAGCCAUUCCGCGUGCAGGAUGAAGGCCCUCGGGUUGUAAACUGCUUUUGUACAGAACGAAAAAAGACUCUAGUUAAUACCUGGAGUCCAUGACGGUACUGUAAGAAUAAGCACCGGCUAACUACGUGCCAGCAGCCGCGGUAAUACGUAGGUGCAAG